rnacentral:rRNA from 1 species
UACGUAGGGUGCGAGCGUUAAUCGGAAUUACUGGGCGUAAAGCGUGCGCAGGCGGUUCGUUAAGUUCGAUGUGAAAGCCCCGGGCUCAACCUGGGAACUGCAUUGGAAACUGGCGAGCCUGAGUGCGGCAGAGGGGGUGGAAUUCCGCGUGUAGCAGUGAAAUGCGUAGAGAUGCGGAGGAACACCGAUGGCGAAGGCAGCCCCUGGGCCGACACUGACGCUCAGGCACGAAAGCGUGGGGAGCAAACAGG